AUGACAGAAACAGCUGCCAGCAACUGUGAGAUCCCCAGUGCACUUUUGUUCCUGAGACAAAUCCCCCCUACUCAACGUGGCCCCCAGUCGCUCCCACAGUGCGGGUGGCAUGUCGUGGAGGGGGAGGGGAGAAGGGAAAGUUGUGAGGCAGAGGACUGGAAGCGAAACACACCUGCCACAGUGAAACUGAAUCAGAAAACCCCCAGUGGCAGAGUGCCAGGGCGGUCAGUUUACCAGAGAAAACCAAGGCCAACCAACCAGAAAACUCAGGAAGUGAGUACACGAGGAAUAUGGCCAAUGAUCCAAGAGCCAGUGCAGUGAUUGACUGACUGUCCCAUUGACGUCCCAGCCCCACGCCUCACUCUCCAGGGCCUUGUCUCCUCCUCCACCAUAGCAGCACAUCCACU
rnacentral:lncRNA from 1 species